AUACGUAGGUGACAAGCGUUAUCCGGAUUUACUGGGCAUAAAGGGCGUGUAGGCGGUCUUGCAAGUCAGAAGUGAAAUUCCUGAGCUCAACUCGGGCGCUGCUUCUGAAACUGCAGGACUUGAGUGCUGGAGGGGAUAGCGGAAUUCCUAGUGGAGCGGUAAAAUGCGCAGAUAUUAGGAAGAACACCGGUGGCGAAGGCGGCUAUCUGGACAGUAACUGACGCUGAGGCGCGAAAGCGUGGGGAGCAAACAGGAUUAGAUACGCUGGUAGUCCACGCCGUAAACGAUGAAUACUAGGUGUAGGGGGUAUCGACUCCCUCUGUGCCGCAGUUAACACAAUAAGUAUUCCGCCUGGGGAGUACGGCCGCAAGGUUGAAACUCAAAUGAAUUGGCGGGG
rnacentral:rRNA from 1 species